GACGAACGCUGGCGGCGUGCCUAAUACAUGCAAGUCGAGCGGGCUUUUUAAAAGCUUGCUUUUAAAAAGUUAGCGGCGGACGGGUGAGUAACACGUGGGCAACCUGCCCUGUAGACUGGGAUAACCUCGGGGAAACCAAGCUAAUACCGGAUAACCAAUAGAAGCACCUACUUCUAUUGUAAAAGUUGGGAUACUAACACUACAGGAUGGGCCUGCGGCGCAUUAGCUAGUUGGUAAGGUAAUGGCUUACCAAGGCGACGAUGCGUAGCCGACCUGAGAGGGUGAUCGGCCACACUGGAACUGAGACACGGUCCAGACUCCUACGGGAGGCAGCAGUAGGGAAUCAUCCGCAAUGGGCGAAAGCCUGACGGUGCAACGCCGCGUGAACGAUGAAGGUUUUCGGAUCGUAAAGUUCUGUUAUGAGGGAAGAACAAGUGCCGUUCGAAUAGGGCGGCACCUUGACGGUACCUCACGAGAAAGCCCCGGCUAACUACGUG
rnacentral:rRNA from 1 species